GCCACACCAAUGUUUAAGAUGUAAUUUGAUCGAGAAGAGCAUUUUGGGAUCUGAUCAUGCUGCUCAGGCUUGAUCAACGCUGGCUGUUGCACAGUUAAGGGUGUCUAUGUUGUGCUGUAUUGCUCAGAUAAUGUUUUGAGAUUACACUUUAUUUGCACUACACUCAGUGCAAGUAACCAACAGCAACAGCAGCAAAAAUGAAAAGAAGAAGAAGAGCCUAACAGAUGCAUGAAUUAACAUUACAGGCAACUUAUUAGUGUCAAGAAACAUCCAAUGACCUCAGGUUAUAUCACAGAUAAUGUGCUCCAGUGGCUCUUAAGUGUGAGAUUUGUUAGAUAACUAAUUGUGUUGUGAUGUGCAACUUGCUAAUGUAAUUGCAUUUCUGUGAUGUAUUAUCAUAUACUUUGUUUAUGAAGUAAACUGUAAUGGUACACUGUUUGAAAAGGUACUUCAUAAAAUCAACAUUCAUUUUCCAGAAAUUACAUAAAAGAUUUCUUGUUUUUUUAUUUUUUGCUCAAAUGCCAGUCUUUCAAUUACUCACCACACAAAAACAAGGCAAAUAGUUAUCCUUCUCAUUACUGCUGUGCGUACUAAGUCUAGUGUAGUAUAUGAACCUUUCAGAUUUGUCAUUUCACUGUGCAUGGCAGAUUUCAGCACCUCGGUGUUGAUUUUCUUGCAUGCCUCUGUUUUGCCGUUAAGUCUUGCUACUUUUUUCAGGUGUGUAACAGCCAAAUCAGUUUUGUGGUUGAGUACCAGCCAGCGUGCCGACUCAGGAAACCACC